rnacentral:rRNA from 1 species
GAAGGCUUUCGGGUCGUAAAACUCUGUUGUUGGAGAAGAAUGGUCGGCAGAGUAACUGUUGUCGGCGUGACGGUAUCCAACCAGAAAGCCACGGCUAACUACGUGCCAGCAGCCGCGGUAAUACGUAGGUGGCAAGCGUUAUCCGGAUUUAUUGGGCGUAAAGCGAGCGCAGGCGGUUUUUUAAGUCUGAUGUGAAAGCCCUCGGCUUAACCGAGGAAGCGCAUCGGAAACUGGGAAACUUGAGUGCAGAAGAGGACAGUGGAACUCCAUGUGUAGCGGUGAAAUGCGUAGAUAUAUGGAAGAACACCAGUGGCGAAGGCGGCUGUCUGGUCUGUAACUGACGCUGAGGCUCGAAAGCAUGGGUAGCGAACAGGAUUAGAUACCCUGGUAGUCCAUGCCGUAAACGAUGAAUGCUAGGUGUUGGAGGGUUUCCGCCCUUCAGUGCCGCAGCUAACGCAUUAAGCAUUCCGCCUGGGGAGUACGACCGCAAGGUUGAAACUCAAAGGAAUUGACGGGGGCCCGCACAAGCGGUGGAGCAUGUGGUUUAAUUCGAAGCAACGCGAAGAACCUUACCAGGUCUUGACAUCUUUUGAUCACCUGAGAGAUCAGGUUUCCCCUUCGGGGGCAAAAUGACAGGUGGUGCAUGGUUGUCGUCAGCUCGUGUCGUGAGAUGUUGGGUUAAGUCCCGCAACGAGCGCAACCCUUAUGACUAGUUGCCAGCAUUUAGUUGGGCACUCUAGUAAGACUGCCGGUGACAAACCGGAGGAAGGUGGGGAUGACGUCAAAUCAUCAUGCCCCUUAUGACCUGGGCUACACACGUGCUACAAUGGAUGGUACAACGAGUUGCGAGACCGCGAGGUCAAGCUAAUCUCUUAAAGCCAUUCUCAGUUCGGACUGUAGGCUGCAACUCGCCUACACGAAGUCGGAAUCGCUAGUAAUCGCGGAUCAGCACGCCGCGGUGAAUACGUUCCCGGGCCUUGUACACACCGCCCGUCACACCAUGAGAGUUUGUAACACCCGAAGCCGGUGGCGUAACCCUUUUAGGGAGCGAGCCGUCUAAGGUGGGACAAAUGAUUAGGGUGAAGUCGUAACAAGGUAGCCGUAGGAGAACCUGCGGCUGGAUCACCUCCUUU